rnacentral:rRNA from 1 species
UGAGUAAUGCGUGACCAACCUGCCCAUGCUCAGAAUAGCUCUUGGAAACGGGUGGUAAUGCUGGAUGCUCCAAUUGACGCAUGUCUUGUUGGGAAAGUGUUUAGUGGCAUGGGAUGGGGUCGCGUCCUAUCAGCUUGUAGGCGGGGUAAUGGCCCACCUAGGCUUCGACGGGUAGCCGGCCUGAGAGGGCGGACGGCCACAUUGGGACUGAGAUACGGCCCAGACUCCUACGGGAGGCAGCAGCC